CAAUUCUCCUGCCUCAGCCUCCCAAAAGCACUGAGAUGACAGGUUUGCUAAUAUUUUCAUGUGAGGUUCACUGCAUCAUUUUAAUUUCAGGUUUUCCUAGUGUCUUUGCGAAAGCUCAGGAUGAGACUUUGUCACUAAGGUGGCUCCCUCCUCUCAGCACAUCAAGCUUGUUUCUACCCUGGUCCUAAGAGCUCAGAGGCUGAAGCUCGAGUCCCUGCCUGAAGGUGUCUGCUUUCUGAGAACAGCAGAGAAGAACCAUGUCCCAGUUUCUACCAGACUUUUCUGUGCCUCCUUUGCUCAUGCCAGGUGUCUUGCUAGGAAUAUCCUUCAGACAUCAGAUCACCGUUUAUCUUUGAUUCUGCUCACCCGUGACCUCCUAGGAAACUUCACGUGAC